rnacentral:rRNA from 1 species
AACGUAGGUCCCGAGCGUUAUCCGGAUUUACGGGGCGUAAAGCGUGUUCAGGCGGCCUGGCAAGUCGGGCAUGAAAUCUCUCGGCUCAACCGGGAGGGGCUGUCCGAUACUGCUGGGCUUGAGGGCAGGAGAGGGUGGUGGAAUUCCGGGUGUAGUGGUGAAAUGCGUAGAGAUCCGGAGGAACACCAGUGGCGAAAGCGGCCACCUGGCCUGCACCUGACGCUCCAACACGAAAGCUAGGGGAGCGAACGGG